rnacentral:rRNA from 1 species
CAUGCAAGUCGAACGGAAAGUGCCCUUCGGGGUGACUCGAGUGGCGAACGGGUGAGUAACACGUGGGUGAUCUGCCCUGCACUUUGGGAUAAGCCUGGGAAACUGGGUCUAAUACCGAAUACACCCUGCUGGUCGCAUGGCCUGGUGGGGGAAAGCUUUUGCGGUGUGGGAUGGGCCCGCGGCCUAUCAGCUUGUUGGUGGGGUGAUGGCCUACCAAGGCGACGACGGGUAGCCGGCCUGAGAGGGUGUCCGGCCACACUGGGACUGAGAUACGGCCCAGACUCCUACGGGAGGCAGCAGUGGGGAAUAUUGCACAAUGGGCGCAAGCCUGAUGCAGCGACGCCGCGUGAGGGAUGACGGCCUUCGGGUUGUAAACCUCUUUCAGUUCCGACGAAGCGGAAGUGACGGUAGGUACAGAAGAAGCACCGGCCAACUACGUGCCAGCAGCCGCGGUAAUACGUAGGGUGCGAGCGUUGUCCGGAAUUACUGGGCGUAAAGAGCUCGUAGGUGGUUUGUCGCGUUGUUCGUGAAAACUCACA